UGUUAUAAGGUGUAAGAGGCAUUAGAGAUUUUGAUUCUCAAGGUUUAAGUUUGAUUCUUAAUUUAACAA
rnacentral:tRNA from 1 species